GAUGAACGCUGACAGAAUGCUUAACACAUGCAAGUCAACUGUGGCGGACGGGUGAGUAACGCGUAAAGAACUUGCCUCACAGAUAGGGACAACAUUUGGAAACGAAUGCUAAUACCUGAUACUGUGAGAGAGCUUUGCGUCCCAUUAGCUAGUUGGAGAGGUAACGGCUCACCAAGGCGAUGAUGGGUAGCCGGCCUGAGAGGGUGAUCGGCCACAAGGGGACGGAGACACGGCGGUUACUCCUACGGGAGGCAGGAGUGGGGAAUAUUGGACAAUGGACCAAAGUCUGAACCAGCAAUUGUGUGUGAAAGAUGAAGUUUUCGGAAGGUAAAGUGAUUUCAGUUGGGAAGCGGUACCAACAGAAGAAGUGACGGCUAAAUACGUGCAAGCAGCGGCGGUAAUA
rnacentral:rRNA from 1 species